UUAGCUAAAGCCAAAGAGAGGCGUAUCACUGUUAAUGAUAGAAUUGAAAUUAUUUUCUAGCUAAG
rnacentral:tRNA from 1 species